rnacentral:misc_RNA from 1 species
GAUGAAGAACGUAGCGAAAUGCGAUAAGUAAUGUGAAUUGCAGAAUUCAGUGAAUCAUCGAAUCUUUGAACGCACAUUGCGCCCGCCAGUAUUCUGGCGGGCAUGCCUGUUCGAGCGUCAUUACAACCCUCAGGCCCCCGGGCCUGGCGUUGGGGAUCGGCGGAAGCCCCCUGUGGGCACACGCCGUCCCUCAAAUACAGUGGCGGUCCCGCCGCAGCUUCCAUUGCGUAGUAGCUAACACCUCGCAACUGGAGAGCGGCGCGGCCAUGCCGUAAAACACCCAACUUCUGAAUGUUGACCUCGAAUCAGGUAGGAAUACCCGCUGAACUUAAGCAUACAAUAAGCGGAGGA